AUUGAACGCUGGCGGCAUGCCUAAUACAUGCAAGUCGAGCGAGCGGCGGACGGGUGAGUAAUGUCUGGGAAACUGCCUGAUGGAGGGGGAUAACUACUGGAAACGGUAGCUAAUACCGCAUACCAUCAGAUGUUCCCCGAUGGGAUUAGCUAGUAGGUGGGGUAACGGAGCACCUGGGCUACGGGCCCUAGCUGGUCUGAGGGGAUGACCAGCCACACUGGAACUGAGACACGGUCCAGACUCCUACGGUAGGCAGCAGUGGGGAAUAUUGCACAAGGGGCGCAAGCCUGAUGCAGCCAUGCCGCGUGUGUGAAGAAGUCCUUCGGGUUGUAAAGCACUUUCAGCGGGGAGGCGUUACCCGCAGAAGAAGCACCGGCUAACUCCGUGCCAGCCGCCGCGGUAAUUC
rnacentral:rRNA from 1 species